UGGGCGGUGCUGUGCCAAGUUAUAUCUGGGGGAGGGCUGCGCGUCUCGGAUGUGCGUCCUCCUACCUCUUCCUGAAGCCUGGGCUGCGUGUCGGCAGCGUGGUUUGGCGUGGCUGUGUCGGCUCCACGUGGCUGUCUUGAGACGCUGGUUAUUGAGCUUCCUCCGUUCACUUUUGUCAGAGUUGGCUUGUAUUCCGGCCGGAGGUUUGGGAGUUGGGCGUGUGCGGCCUCGGAGCUGUGCGUAAUAAUCCACGCUCUGCGUUGGAUCCCUGAGUUAUUAGGCUGCAUCCCUUCGCGGCUACCUCCCCUGUGGCCUGGGAAGCUGCGCCUUUACUGAAGGGUGGCUCCACCUCUGAAGCGGGCCGCUGCGCUACUGCUGCUCUGUCUGUGGGUUCGCUGCGGCAGGCUCACUGCUCGUCUCCCGUUUUUUUAUUACUAUCGUUUCGUUUGUUUUUUGUUUUUUUUUUUUUUUUCUUUAUUUACUAAUCCGGGUGUGAGCGCGGGCUUGCUGCCUUGCACGCCUAGAGUAAAUUUAUUUGGAUAAAAGUGAGUGUUGGUUGCACCGCAUGUGGCGCUGUCUCUGUAGAGGAAAUUAAUGCAGUGUAGGAUUUAAAGCUGCACCCGGUGCACUGAUCCUCGUCAAUUAACCUAUCAAUCUUUGGUUAAUUAUUGUUUUUUUGUUUUCUUUUCGUAUUGUAAUCAGUUAUUCAUUGUUAUUGCUUACAGAUUUUAUGAUCAUUUAUUGUUAUUUUUCUGAACAUUCUGUGUUUAAUUAUUGAGUUAUUCUUCUUAGUAGCUUUUGUUUUUUUUUCUUUUUGCUAUUGGUUUAUGGUGAGCGCGGGCUUGCUGCCUUGCACGCCUGGAGUAAAUUCAUUUGGACGAAAUCGAGUGUUGGUGGCACCGCAUGUGGUACGGUCUCUGUAGAGGAAAUUAAUGUGGUGUAGGAUUUUAAAGCUGCACUCACACUGAUCCUCAUCAGCUAACCUAUUAAUUUUGGGUUAAUUAUUGUUUUGUUUUCUUUUGUUUUGUUUUCUUUUUGUAUUACGAUUAGUUAUUCAUUGUUAUUGUUUACAGAUUUUGUGGUUAUUCAUUGUUAUUUUCUGUAGAUUUUGUUUAGUUAUAUAGUUACCUUUGUUGGUAGAUUUUGUUCUUUUUCUUUCUUUCUUUUGCUUUACUGGGUUAACUGGGAGUGUGUGUGUGUGGGUGUGUGUGUGUGCGAGUGGCAAUUAACAGCACAAUCAACCUUGGUGGUGACAUUUUGGGCCUAGCAUAGUGUGGUGUCAGGGCAGUUGUUUUAUAUGUGUUGCCCUUUGCCCUGACUAAUAGUUUGCUUCUUUUCUUUGGACAGGAGCUGUUGGGCCGGUGCGGUGAGUGGCUGACUGAUCCCUGCGGUGGUGGUCCCUUCACUCCCUGUAUAGUCGUGCACUUGGGUGUCAUUCAGCGUUUUUUUUUUUUUUUUCUCACGUGUGGUGUGUAGUAUCAGGACCCUUCCCCUUCACCUCAGUUGGUCAUCUCCGCCUGGUAAGCCCUCAGCCCUGUGCCUAGUGUUUGCACUUUUAUAGCAAACCUAACCAACCCAUUAAGUAGGCCCCAAGGAUUGUGCCAUAUCUGGCCACUUGUCUUAUCUCUUACCUCAUCACCCAGAGACUUUAUUCAAAUUUUGAGAUUUUAAAUUGUUAUUAAUAAACUUUAUUUUUAUAAUUUUCUUGGAAUCA